AUACGUAGGGGGCGAGCGUUGUCCGGAAUUAUUGGGCGUAAAGGGCGCGUAGGCGGAUAUUUAAGUCCGAUGUAAAAUACCAGGGCUUAACCCUGGGGGUGCAACGGAAACUGGGUAUCUUGAGUACAGGAGAGGAAAGUGGAAUUCCACGUGUAGCGGUGAAAUGCGUAGAUAUGUGGAGGAACACCAGUGGCGAAGGCGACUUUCUGGACUGUAACUGACGCUGAGGCGCGAAAGCGUGGGGAGCAAACAGGAUUAGAUACCCUGGUAGUCCACGCCGUAAACGAUGAGUGCUAGGUGUAGAGGGUAUCGACCCCUUCGGUGCCGCAGUUAACACAAUAAGCACUCCGCCUGGGGAGUACGGCCGCAAGGUUGAA
rnacentral:rRNA from 1 species